rnacentral:tRNA from 1 species
GGCCCUGUAGCUCAACACGGCAGAGCACCCGGUUCUUACCCGGGACGAUGCAGGUUCGACGCCUGCCGGGGCCA